rnacentral:rRNA from 1 species
UACAGAGGGGCGAGCGUUGUUCGGAAUUACUGGGCGUAAAGGGCGCGUAGGCGGCCUUCUAAGUCGAACGUGAAAUCCCCGGGCUCAACCCGGGAACUGCGUCCGAUACUGGAAGGCUUGAAUCCGGGAGAGGGAUGUGGAAUUCCAGGUGUAGCGGUGAAAUGCGUAGAUAUCUGGAGGAACACCGGUGGCGAAGGCGACAUCCUGGACCGGUAUUGACGCUGAGGCGCGAAAGCCAGGGGAGCAAACGGG